CCCCUUUUAAAAGCACUCAAUGGGCCUGUGGCUAAUGACCUCUUGAGCCAUCAAGAAAGGGGAGAAUGGAAACACCGCUUUUGGGUGAAGUGGCAGCAUGUUGUGUUGCUUUACUUCAAUCAGUGGUGUGGCAAGG
ensembl:snoRNA